rnacentral:rRNA from 1 species
GACGAACGCUGGCGGCGUGCUUAACACAUGCAAGUCGAGCGGUAAGGCCCUUUCGGGGGUACACGAGCGGCGAACGGGUGAGUAACACGUGGGUGACCUGCCCUCAGCUCUGGGAUAAGCCUGGGAAACCGGGUCUAAUACCGGAUAUGACUCCAUGACGCAUGUUGUGGGGUGGAAAGCCUUGUGCGGCUGAGGAUGGGCCCGCGGCCUAUCAGCUUGUUGGUGGGGUGAUGGCCUACCAAGGCGACGACGGGUAGCCGGCCUGAGAGGGCGACCGGCCACACUGGGACUGAGACACGGCCCAGACUCUACGGGAGGCAGCAGUGGGGAAUCUUGCGCAAUGGGCGAAAGCCUGACGCAGCGACGCCGCGUGAGGGAUGACGGCCUGUGU